UACGGAGGGUGCGAGCGUUGUCCGGAAUCACUGGGCGUAAAGGGCGCGUAGGCGGCGACUCAAGUUAGAUGUGAAAGUCCUGGGCUUAACCUGGGGACUGCAUUUGAUACUGGGUUGCUUGAGUUCGGGAGAGGAUAGCGGAAUUCCCAGUGUAGAGGUGAAAUUCGUAGAUAUUGGGAAGAACACCGGUGGCGAAGGCGGCUAUCUGGACCGACAUUGACGCUGAGGCGCGAAAGCGUGGGGAGCAAACAGG
rnacentral:rRNA from 1 species